rnacentral:tRNA from 3 species
GGGCCGGUAGCUCAGUUGGUAGAGCAGUUGCCUUUUAAGCAAUUGGUCGCGGGUUCGAGUCCCGCCCGGCCCUCCA